rnacentral:misc_RNA from 1 species
AUAUUCUUCCUACCUCUGAUAUAAAAAACCUUAACCCCAAAGCAAUCUCAUCUACCACCUUCUUCCUCUGAAAGCUUGUUCUCUCAUCUCCAAUGGCAAAAUCAUACAAAACCCAUAACCUAAAACCAGUUCAAUUCGUUUUCCUUCUCAUCAUUUCACUAUCUAUUAUUUCAUCAUCUUCAGGUAGGCUACUAUAUGACUCUCUCCCGCAGAACCGAGCAGCAGCAGAACCAGCCUUGAAUCUUGCACUUCCUAGCGACAAGGUUAAUCAUGCGUCGCCGCUGAAUCCAUCGGAUAAAGAUAAUAUGAAGCAUGUUUUACCAUGUGAAAUGGACUCCAACAACAACAAGAAGAAGAAGAACUCCGAUGUGAAAGUUGGAGCAAGAUUCGCCUGGAAGUAUGGACCGACGAUUCUGAAUAUGCUUCCAAAAGGACAAACUGGGAACUCUGGACCAAGCAAAGGAUCCAAUGACAUAGAAAACUAGAGACCGAAGCUCAGGCUUAUGGGGGUUUAAU